AUUUCCCAGAGUGGUCGCUCUGUGCUAUUGUAGUUGACGUAAUAAUGUACAAUGGCAUGACGUAAUAUAUGGCUUAUGACGUAAACGCACUCAAGAGAAGGUUCAGUGCCUGCUUCUGGAACAGUUGAGUUGAUGAUUUGCAAAGGACAGUCAUCUUCAUGUUCAAAUAAAUCAUUUUGAGUGGACAAAGAGGACAUUCUGUGAGUACAGCAAAACGGGCCAAGAUUUUGGAAAAAAAAUAUUGAAAUGUAUUUUAAAAUGUAUUUGUUUAUAAAAAAAUGUCAGGUCCAAUCUGAGAAGGGUGCCUGAAAGCACAAUGGAUAGAAAUCAUAAACGGUUGAAAAAAAUUCUUCAAAAAGUAAGUCUCAUAAGUGAUAAAACAUUUUUUGUUAAUUCUGGGGCUUACUCUCUUGAUAUGUAAUGAGGCUAUCUUCUUGGUAGUAUAGCCUAUAUGCUGUAAAAACAGAUUGACAUGAUUUAUAAUUGGAGAAGUGGGCAUAAUAAUGGAGGGCUCAAGUUAAAUGUAUUUCCUUAUGUUCCUGUACCCCAGGCUGGGAUCCUCCAAGCUAGUGCUGGAGAGCAGGUGCUCCAGACAGACGUCCAUUCCGCUGGCCAUGAUGGACUAAGGCUGCCAGCCCUGGGAGACUGCCCCAAGGACAGCCCUCUAAAGACUGGGACCCUCCAAGCUAGUGCUGGAGAGCAGGUGCUCCAGACAGACGUCCAUUCCGCUGGCCAUGAUGGACUAAGGCUGCCAGCCCUGGGAGACUGCCCCAAGGACAGCCCUCUAAAGAACCUUGUGCCGAAGCCCCCACAAGGCCCCAGGCCCAGCCGAGAGACCAAUAUAGCAAAGGCAGAAAAGAAGGCCAGAGAGGCUAUCAAGCCUAGAAGUGCUAGGGAGGCUAAGGCAGGGGUGAAAAACCUAAGCCUCCAAGUAGUUGGUGUGUUGGCACUGCCUCAAACUCUUCAAUCUCGAACAACCUGUUACAGUGUCCUGCCAGCUAUCAAGAAGGGCACUAAAGUUACUAAAAUGGAGACAACACAACCCCCAGGUCCCCUGACACCUAAUGAUGGGGAGAUAAUGAUCUCCUCUCCAUCUGUUGAUGACCUCCUGACCCCAAAGAGUGAUGUCACGUCCGAGGCUAAGAGUGAUGAUGCCUCCUGUCCAAUUUCACCUGAGGCGUUCUCUCUAACAAUCUUCCUGAAGUCUCACCCUCAGAGAAAGCUUAUCAGGAAGUUCCUCAAACAAAUGAAUGUGACAAUAGGCGACCUGGACGAGAUCAUCGAGUGGGUGGUGUGUGUCUCCAGUGAGGUGUUCCUCCCAGUGAUGGCUCUGCACAGGACCUCCAGACCAGAGUCGUCAGACUCAUCCCGCUGGGGGUCAGGUGUGCUCCAGAUUGUCUCUGAAAAGUUCCACCAGCGGAGUUCUGAGCCGAAGGGAAGGCUCCUGGGCGGGCAGCCGCCCACUCCCCCUUCUGAGACCGACAAGGAGCUUCAGGGCAUAGCAGAUCUGUCUGUGAGUAACAUCCUGAAAAGGGCCCAGGAGGACCUCUUCUCUUCUGGUGAGGAUGACCUGGAGAACACCCAUCCAGGCAUCACUCUGACCGAAGAGAAGCUCUCCAGCAUCUUCUCAGAGCUGUUCAGGGAUGCCUGUGAGAGUGCCCAGGAGGCCGCCAGACGGAUCCACCACAUGAGGUCUGGAAGAGGCAACAACAGCCGAAAUGGGAGAUGCCCUGGGUCAUCACAGGGAUCGAGCAGGUCCAACAUGCCAGAGUUGGGAGAACUGGGGUCAGUGAGGAGGCCCAAGGGAAGUGACGUCCAUAAAGUCCUUAGCGAGGGGUCCUUCCCUGUCUUUGCCCUGUUUGGGGAGAGGCCAGGGGAAGUUGGGGAGACCAGCAGCCCUGCUGGAGAGAUGGACGAGACCCAGACUGCCAGCACUCCCAGCAUUCCCCGGUCUGGGCAUGGCGGCAGAAGGAGUAGCCAGACCACCAUUCCCACCACCGGCCACAGAGAGGCAGGUGUCACAGCCAGUAACAUCUUUGAUAUUAUUCUUCAUCUGGCGCACUCCGACACUGACCGGGAACUCCACCAGGAGUUCAGCAGUGAGGAUGAUGUUUCACUGAAUGACAUCAUGGACAUGAAGUUAACCCCGGCAGUGGAGCCCCUGGGGCAGAUGCUGUCCUCAUGGAGGCUGGUCAACAGGAUCUUCAGGGGGAAGGUCCACUACUUUGGGAAGGAGCUCAUCUGCAAGGUGUAUCAGAUGCUUCUGGACACCGGUAUGGGCAGGAGGCCAAUGGCCCGCCAGAGCAGGUCCGAGCCCACCCUGAAAGACCUGGCUGCCAACCGUAGGCUCUCCAAUGAAUUCUUCACAGACGUGCUGUACAUGUUCAUCCAACGGGCCAUUAAGAAUCUGCUGGAGAACUUCUUGGGUCUGCCGACCACCCCACCGGGUAGAGACAUUAUGUGGAAUGACAACUUCAACUGGAUGUAUAGGGACGGCUGGGGGGACACCCCCACAUCCAGCGAGGAGGACAGCGACUCCACCUGGUCAAGUGGGCUUGGGGAGGAGGAGGCAGAGUCCCAUGGGAGGUGGGCCGCUCUGUUGGAGAAGGGCAGCUUCCUGACCCUCCAGUCCUCCAGCUCCCUCUCCGAUGACAACAAGGAGGCACUAGGGGCCAUCUACCAGGUCCUGACCACCAGGGUGGGAGACAUCCUGAACAGUACCUGCAACGACGAUUACAAGGCCAGGCUCAUCAUCCAGAAAGGAUUGGAUUCCGGUGCCAGGGAAAGGUUCCCUGACUCUCCGUGUCCCUCUUCACCCAAGGACGAAGAGGAGGUGGUUGUGAGUGGCAUGACUGUCUCAUACCCUAAACCCUCCACCUCAACCCAGGCGGCAUGGGCAGCUCCUGCCCAGACUCUGGACGUUUUUCUGCCCAGACCCUGCCUGGAUGAAGAAGAGGUAGUGCCCAGCACCUCCAUGAAGGACAACUCUGUGACGACCACCCAUGCAGCACGGGCAGCUCCUUCCCAGACCCUGGAAGAAGAGGUGGGGGGAGCUGAGGUGUCCGACGUGAGUGACAGCUUCAUGAUGCCCACCAAGGCCCUUGAGAAGAUUCCCUCCCUCCUACCAGGCAAGAUCCUUAUCGAGGAGGACAUCCGCAUUCGCAGCACUCCCUGGGCCACCAUCAUGAGCCCCCAGACCCUGAAGCUCAUCCUCCAGGGCAUCAUGCGCCGACUGGAGGCCUCAGAGUCCCCCCAGACAAGGAGGGCCAACGACCCCUUCAGGCUGAUGAAGGAUCUCUUUCUGGAGGUCCAGCAUGCCCUUAAGUAUGCUGACAUCUCUGUCAUCUUUGGCCUGGAGGAGAGCAUCCAAUUCAUUGGGGAGGAUGCGGUGAAGGCCAUCGUGAAGACUGCAGCUAAAAGAUUGUCUCUGCGUUCGGACUCCAACCGGGCUCAACUGUGUGCCGCGCGCUCUGGUGGCGAGGGAGCCAUCAGGUGCAUGGCGGACACCAUCACACAAGUCAUAGAUGACUAUUCCGAGGACUGGAGUUCCGACUGCCAUUUUGGAGCCAGGAGGAGCUGUGCUAGUGGGAGGUCACACUCCUCAACCUCCUCAAGGAGUGACGUCACCUUCACCGAGGAGCUCUUGGCCCGGAGGGAAACCCUUGAAGAGGACCUAGAGGAGAUGGCUGAUGACAGCACUGGUUUGGAGAAGACCAUUGUAAGCUCAGUCAUCUCUGAGAAGUCCCAGGUAAUUAGCUACCUUUCUGAGAGCACCGAGCCCAUCAGCUGUGCCCUCUUCACAGAUCUCGAGGACAUCACCUCCACACAGAAGAAGGAGAAGGAAGAGGCUAUGAAGGAAGAAGUGAGGAAGUCAGGAAAGAAGAAGCGAGGAAAUAACAAGGACCAGAAGAAGAACAAGGUGUCUCCUCUUGGCAAUGAUAGUACUGUGGCUGCAGAUGAGCCGAAGAAAAAACAGGCUCUCUUCCCGCGGAUCACAGCCGCCCUGGCAAAACUAUUUUGCUUCCCCUGCAAAAAAAGAUGCAAAAAGUAACUGUGCAGAGACCAGUUUGGGAAACCCUGAUGCCACCUCCCCCAACCCACUUUCUAAAAAAACAUCAGAACAAUCAGAAGAGGGAGACAACCCCCCCUACUCACAACCCAUUUUAUUACCCCCCCCCCCCCCAAUUAAUUUAUUAAACACAACUUGCAGCUAUUUUGAACUUCUUCUUUACUUUU
rnacentral:lncRNA from 8 species